rnacentral:rRNA from 1 species
CCCUUAGAUGUCCUGGGCCGCACGCGUGCUACACUGACACUUACACCGAGUUUUUCCGGCCCCGAGAGGUGGCUGGUAAUCAGUAAUAGGUGUCGUGAUGGGGAUAGAUCUUUGGAAUUAUUGAUCUUGAACGGGGAAUGCCUAGUAAUCGUAGGUCAUCAGCCUGCGAUGAUUACGUCCCUGCCCUUUGUACACACCGCCCGUCGCUCCUACCGAUUUCGAGUGGUCCGGUGAACCUUUCGGACAGAGAGAGUCUCGUACAAUCUCUGAAAGUCAAGUAAACCACAUCACUUAGAGGAAGGAGAAGUCGUAACA